rnacentral:rRNA from 1 species
CUACGGGAGGCAGCAGUAGGGAAUAUUGGACAAUGGGCGCAAGCCUGAUCCAGCCAUGCCGCGUGAGUGAUGAAGGCCCUAGGGUUGUAAAGCUCUUUCGCCAGGGACGAUAAUGACGGUACCUGGAUAAGAAGCCCCGGCUAACUUCGUGCCAGCAGCCGCGGUAAUACGAAGGGGGCUAGCGUUGUUCGGAAUUACUGGGCGUAAAGCGCACGUAGGCGGAUUGUUAAGUGAGGGGUGAAAUCCCAGGGCUCAACCCUGGAACUGCCUUUCAUACUGGCAAUCUAGAGUCCGGAAGAGGUGAGUGGAAUUCCGAGUGUAGAGGUGAAAUUCGUAGAUAUUCGGAGGAACACCAGUGGCGAAGGCGGCUCACUGGUCCGGUACUGACGCUGAGGUGCGAAAGCGUGGGGAGCAAACAGGAUUAGAAACCCGUGUAGUCC